rnacentral:misc_RNA from 1 species
CAGGAAUUAAAUUUUAUAUUUACAGAAGACAUGUGUUCUUGAUAAAUAUUCAAAUAAAAUUUUGAAAUAAUGACAAAGAAUUACAUUAUUUUUUAACUUAUAUACAUAUUGGCCACUAUUCAAUGUUAUUUACUUGCAAUCUUAACGAUUUUUCUUUUUCUAUUUGAAAACGCAAACUUUUUUUAUAACUUAUCAAGAUCAAAUAUACAAAUACAUGAUUUAAAUUUCAAUUUCAUUUAGCGCCAUACAUUCAAUUUCAAAAUGCAAGUCAUUUAACUACUCAACAAGAUAUAUACAAUACACAUUGUAACAAUAUUUAUGUAGAAUUAGUUAGUAGUAUAUUUUGACCUGUUUAAUCCAUUUUGUGUCUUACAAAAAUAAUAUGUAGUUUAAAUAGUUUCGAGUACAAAACUUUACUGAGAUACCUUGAUAUGGUAUGUUUAUGUGAAUAUUUCGACUGUUUUCACGGAUUUGACUAGGAUUAUACCGUUUUUUAUCAUUGAUGAAAGACAUUAUUUAAAAAAAAUAGAUAUAUAGCUGCUUAGUACGCUAGGAACCGUGUUUGUUAGGAGAAGAUAUACAAAUAUAUCGUGUAUAAGUAUCAUGAAUAAGUUCUUUACGGGGAAUUUUUUGCUGUAUUAUACGAGGACCGCACAGUUCAAUCAUUACACUUCUUUAUCAUAUAUCAAUUAAUUUAUAUUGUUACUAUUUGAUAUAACUGUUAUGAGUGAUUCGCUAAUAUCACCAUAGUUUUGCCAUAGUAAUUAUUUUUGUUAAUUUCGACUAAAACAAUUACUUAAUUUAAAAACUUUCGUCAUGUUUAAUUCACACCGUUGACUAAAAAGUUACAUUAUUACACUAUACAAUAUAUUUAUAUAAUACUUGAACAUAAUUUCGAAUAAUUAAUCUAUUGUGUGUAUUAAGAUAGAUUUAAAUAAGAAAAUGUUAUUAUUUAAUUCAACUAGUCAUUAACGAACAUUAACGUAACUACAAAAGUAGAGAGUAUUCUAUAUAAAUCAAGACUGGUACUGGUCUAGGGGGGGGGGGGGGGGGUUCACUACAUUUAAAUGCCUAUACACAAUGUACUUAACUUGUGAUACUUAUUCUACAUAUAGAAAAAAGUACCAUAAGAUAAAUUGCUUGAUGUGGUUGACGAGUUGAAUUAUUGAGGAGUAAGGAGAGGGGAGAAAUGAGUGUGGAGGACAGUGGGGGAAGUGGGGAGGAGUGAGGAGUAGGGAGUGGCUUAUGGGGUUAAGCGAUAAGACAGUCUCAGGAGGGCGCGUCGUGUCAGAAGUAGAUGACCUCCUCCUCGGGGGCGGGGGAGGCGUGGGGCGUGGCCGCGUGCGUGGGCGUGUCUGCCGGCCGGAUGCGGAACUUGUCCGGUAGCUUGGGGUAAGUGUUUGUCCUA